rnacentral:rRNA from 1 species
UACGGAGGGAGCAAGCGUUACUCGGAAUUAUUGGGCGUAAAGGGCGCGUAGGCGAUUUGGCAAGUCUUGUGUGAAAGCCCACAGCCUAACUGUGGAAGUGCACAAGAUACUGCCGUGCUUGAGGACUGGAGAGGAGACUGGAAUUUACGGUGUAGCGGUGAAAUGCGUAGAUAUCGUAAGGAAGACCAGUGGCGAAGGCGGGUCUCUGGACAGUUCCUGACGCUGAGGCACGAAGGUCAGGGGAGCAAACGGG